CCUACGGGUGGCAGCAGUGAGGAAUAUUGGUCAAUGUGCGCGAGCCUGAACCAGCCAAGUCGCGUGAGGGCGGACGGCCCUACGGGUUGUAAACCUCUUUUGCCGGGGAGCAACGGGCGCCACGUGUGGCGUCACUGAGAAUCCCCGGAGAAAAAGCAUCGGCUAACUCCGUUCCAGCAGCCGCGGUAAUACGGAGGAUGCGCGCGUUAUCCGGAUUUAUUGGGUUUAAAGGGUGCGUAGGCGGAGCGUUAAGUCAGUGGUCAAAUUGAGGGGCUCAACCCCUUCCCGCCAUUGAAACUGGCGUGCUUGAGUGGAAGAGAAGUAUGCGGAAUGCGUGGUGUAGCGGUGAAAUGCAUAGAUAUCACGCAGAACCCCGAUUGCGAAGGCAGCAUGCCGGCUUCCGACUGACGCUGAAGCACGAAAGCGUGGGGAUCGAACAGGAUUAGAUACCCGAGUAGUC
rnacentral:rRNA from 1 species